rnacentral:rRNA from 1 species
GUCGUAACAAGGUCUCCGUAGGUGAACCUGCGGAGGGAUCAUUACACAAAUAUGAAGGCGGGCUGGAACCUCUCGGGGUUACAGCCUUGCUGAAUUAUUCACCCUUGUCUUUUGCGUACUUCUUGUUUCCUUGGUGGGUUCGCCCACCACUAGGACAAACAUAAACCUUUUGUAAUUGCAAUCAGCGUCAGUAACAAAUUAAUAAUUACAACUUUCAACAACGGAUCUCUUGGUUCUGGCAUCGAUGAAGAACGCAGCGAAAUGCGAUAAGUAGCGUGAAUUGCAGAAUUCAGUGAAUCAUCGAAUCUUUGAACGCACAUUGCGCCCUUUGGUAUUCCAAAGGGCAUGCCUGUUCGAGCGUCAUUUGUACCCUCAAGCUUUGCUUGGUGUUGGGCGUCUUGUCUCUAGCUUUGCUGGAGACUCGCCUUAAAGUAAUUGGCAGCCGGCCUACUGGUUUCGGAGCGCAGCACAAGUCGCACUCUCUAUCAGCAAAGGUCUAGCAUCCAUUAAGCCUUUUUUUCAACUUUUGACCUCGGAUCAGGUAGGGAUACCCGCUGAACUUAAGCAUAUCA